AACUAUAAUAAUCUAAACUAUAGCUGUAAACUAGUAGCGGACUCUGCAAAUCAAAAUAAAACAAGUGAUAACAAGGUGCUCUGAUUGUUUGUGUUAUAGAAUACAAUGGGGGAUAUAUUCACACGUUAUAGAAACGAAAAUGAUGGUGUAUAAAAUUUAUUUUAAGAUUGAAAAUUAGACGAUAAAGAUUA